CGGCAGGGGGCGCUGUAGGUAUUCACUCUGCUUGACUGGGCGUCAGUAGAAUAAGAGCGUCAGUACAUGAUAGUUGAGUUCAAGUAAACAAGCAGAAACUGAACGUCUGAACUGAACUGUGUUCCCAUAUUUCAACAGGUGGAUGCCGGGUUGGUUGCUGCUCUGUGUGCAGAUUAUGACGGAGCACCCAGACCUGUGGGAAUGUGCUGUAGAAGAUGUGGCUUUGGUCUUUUUGUAAUCAUUUGUGAUCUGGAGCACAGCGCCCCACAGUGGCCCACCCCGGAACGGUGAUCCUCUCCCCCCCUCCAACCACCCAUCACCUCCAUCCUCCUCACUGCAGAAGCUUCUACUCCAAGGUGGACAGCACAUUUCCAUAAAGGUAAUGGAAUGUCAGCUCGGCGUGAUUCCCGUGUGUUGCAGAGUGUUGAUCAAAGUGACCUCUGCACCCCUCUGCUCCUGCAAAUCAAUACGCACAGUCAACAGGAGCUGACAGAGCCAGGCACAACAUAUAAUAAAUGACAAUUCACCAUCACAAUGGCAAGAGCAUAUCUGACAACUCCUGCUCAUGGCAGUAAUUUUCAUGUGAUGCCAAGCUGUUAUGUUCAAAGUGGGAUUCAUUUGCCAGGACUGUCUCACACAGAUGCUGAUAUUACAAGGCUGACUUGUAAGCACCUCAUCCCCCAGUCAUACGUUCCCACUGAAGCUGUCCCAGCCAAGUGCUGACAGAGGCAACGGCAUUACAGUUGUAUCUUUUUAUUGUUGUUGUCUUUCAAAGGGAGCUUAUAUUGAAAGCAAUUUUCCUCUUAAGGGAGCAAAUUGUUCACAGAAAAUUGUAACUGCCAUCGCUUGGAGAUGAUUGGCUGCAUCUUUUGUUGUUGGCAGCCAAGAAUGGAAGGAUUUCAUAUGCGGGAGGGGAGAGAGGAAGGGAAAGAGGGAGCCGUGCAUAUUAAAAGAUGUGUCGUGAAAAAUGAGUGUGAAAUUUCACACGCACCGGAUGAUGGAAGUGGCUGCUGUUUUGCCAGGUGGAGGGGAAAUAGACAUCUGAUGUGUAUUUGUUGAUGUGCAGAGGUAGAGGCAACGUGUUGUGGGGUUUGGAGAUGCAGAUGUCUUUUUUUUUUUUUUAUUAUUAUAAACUGCACCCUGGGCCCCAUCAGGAAAAAAAACUGAGACCGGCCAUUUCCCUUCAUGUUUUGCAGCUUUGUAAGGAUCAAGAGGAUUUGUUUCUGCUGGCAGCUCGCCCGUCACCUGAAACAGAAAAGCCAAUUAAAAGAAAGGGACUUCUGGGUUUGUGUUGUGGCCAAGUCGACCGCAACUGGUGCCAAAUGUCAAAUGUCUGCCACUUGAGUUGGGUCAAAAACAAUUAGACAAAUGUCACAUGCAGUAGCUCUGACACUUGUUUCAUAGAUUUAGUAGUUUCUUGUUUUAUUAUGACUCAGCUGUUGGUGAAUGCUUCUGCCUGUCAGUUUCAGGAGAUUUACUGUAUGACGACUUAUGUAGCUACUAAUUUGUGGAUUAGCAGCCCAGUCGUCAGAGCAAAAUGUUGGCAUUUUAUGCCUGUGCAAACCAGAACACGUCAUAUCACCUUUAGACUACAUGUAUGUGAUGUAACUUGGUGGGAUGGUGGUUUGGCCUGAUAGCUUGGGGAGCUGCUGCUAAGCAAGGCAGUGAAAAGAACUUGAGUGAAAGAACUUCCCUUUAAAUGUUUUCAAUGUCAUUGUUUUAGCUAAGUUUCUCUCUGUUACACCUGUGUUUACUCAGCGUUCAUGAGCAGAAAGGACCGCCCCUUUAUGAAGUUCUCUGUCCUGAUUGGUUAAAGUGGGCAGGGUUACCAGAACAUAUUUUCUGUUUUGCUGUAUGAGCGGGGGAAGGAGAGACAUGUGUUACUGACCAUCGCUCUAUUACAGUGACUACUGUUGGAAUACAGAGCUGACAUAUAUCCCUUACUGCAGCUUUAAAUAUCAAACCUCAAAGUUUCAACUUUUGCACAAAUAUUUAUUCCCAACAUUUGAGUUGGGCUUCAGUAAAAAUAAUUGCCUUUAUGUAUUAUGAAACUCACAGAAUUAAAUACAUUGUCCUCAGCAUUAAAGCUACUUGGACAGCAGUUUUUUUCAAAUCAAACUGUAAAACACAAAAGUAAAACUGUAAGUUCUCGGUUCAUUGCCAGAGUUCAGUUUGUCUCGCUGUUGUUGUUCCUGCUCCAUCUCUGUCUGUUCUCCAGUAAGCAGCCCUCCCCUCCACCCUCCACCCUCCACCCUCCACCCUCCACCACCACCAACCAACAGGUCCCUGCAGCUGCUGCUAAUUACCCAGAUCCUGACAUUUCUCUUACUAUAGACAUAAUGAAUUAUGAAAGUGUCAGACCAAGCCUGACCUCUCUCCUGCGCACACAAACACACAUGCACGUGCACACCUCCCGAUAAACCUAUUUGCUCUGGGCUGGCCUGCCCCAUCCAUUAGUUGUUAUUGUUUUCUCUAAACAUGACAUUGAUUCAAUUUACCACCAAUCAAUUUCAAAUGGUUCUGACAUUCAGAUAUGACCUUAAAGCCAGGCAGACCAAGAACUAUGAUUAGGAUUAAACUUUUGUUAAUGAGGUGAUUUCUCUUCACACUGGGGGAGUGUGUGACACGAUCCAACAAGAGUGGUCAGUAAAAAUUAGAUCAAUUAUUGUGAACGAAACCGCUUUAACUUGAUUACCCUAUGCACCCGCUAGUUUGUGUAAUUAAUAAGCCCCCUCAGCUGCAGAGAGCAGUUUAUUAAUAACAGUCCAUAUCUGUGCUCCUUAAUGAAAUGGCAGGGACCGGGCCAUCCGUUCUGCAGGUAAUGUCAUAAUCAAUGGUGCCCAACACGCAUGUUAAUUACCAUAGUUAUUAAUUGUUACAGUUGGACUUGAAUGCUGCACACUGUCAGCUCCUUUGUCCUACCAUGUAUAGCAAUCAGUGGAUUGAAAAUGGCAAAUCUAAUUAGCCAUUCAGCAAGCAGGCUGGGAAUCCAAAUGAGACGGUAUCAGCCCUGACAGCUGGCAGCCGAGGCGCCGUUCACACUGGGCCGCGAACAAAACCAGCAUUAUCCACUGCCCCGGGAACAACAGGAAAAGGCAUGUAUCGCAAACUAAUAAAUACAUUCACAGCAGCGGCCUGCCAUAUCACACAAUGGUCUAAUGAAAUGCCUGCUUGAUGCCUUUGUCUGGGUACAAGGAGUGUUUAUGCAUUUAUCUGUACAGGGUGCACCGCGUCCAUCCAGCAGGCAGCACAGAGUCAUUUUGGGGCAACAAGAGAGAUUCAGUACCAAGUGGUACUAAAAAAUAUUAAUGAUGUAAUAACAUGGUCUCAGAAGGAAAAAGUCAAAUAUUUUCUUAAAUUUGGAGUUUUACCCUCUGAAGAAUUUACAGCCAUGUAUUCAGAUGUUUAAACAUUGUAGUUAAUUACACUUCUCAUACAUUUAAGUUGAUCGUAUUUGAAUAAAAUAUAAUAUAAACCGCUCAA